AUACGUAGGUCCCGAACGUUGCGCGAAAUUACUGGGCGUAAAGGGUCCGUAGGCGGUCUGGUAAGUGGAAGGUGAAAGCCUGGGGCUCAACUCCAGAAUUGCCUUCCAAACUGCCGGACUUGAGGCAGGGAGAGGUCGGCGGAAUUCCCGGUGUAGCGGUGAAAUGCGUAGAUAUCAGGAGGAACACCAGUGGCGAAGGCGGCCGACUGGAACUGUCCUGACGCUCAGGGACGAAAGCCAGGGGAGCGAACCGGAUUAGAUACCCCAGUAGUCC
rnacentral:rRNA from 1 species